rnacentral:lncRNA from 1 species
ACUGCGCUUCCGUCGCACAGAGCCUGACGAAGGCUUGGGCUCCCCGCGCGGUGACCGUCGAGGUGACCUGCACCUGGCUCCAUGGCGGAACCGGCCGGCACGGAUUAUUCCCCUCUCGGGAGAGGUCUGCAGCCGGGCCUCAGUGCUUCAGUUCGUGGCCUGGCAUUUUGUAGAUGGAGUCUCAGUGUGUAGCCCAGUCUCAAGUGACCCUCCCUCGUUGGCUUCCCAAAGCGCUGAGAUUGCAGGAAGAGUGUCUUCAUCUCUGCAUCCCUAGUGCAACAGAGCAUGACAAAAAUUCAACAAAUAUUUAUUGAAGAGUCUUGAUGUCUUUUGGGAAAGGAACUCUAUGGUUACCUUUACUCUAAGGCAUUGUGAAGACCCUGUUUCUCUAGCUGUGCAGCUGCAAGGUCACUAGGCAGAUAAACUCAAGCCAUAAAACAUGUUUUUCCUUGAAAAAUUAGAUGGGUGUUACUGAUUCUUACCUCAGAGAAGAGAAUGUCAUGGAGACAAAAUGACCUGCUUAGAGUUCUGCACCCCCCAGCAUGGAGAGCAGAGCGCAAAGAUUUCUUCCGGACUCCCACAUUCCCCUUGGAAUCCAAGAACUGGUCUACUGUCACAACACUUUAGUACCCUCUUCUCCCAAGGAGGCAGCAGAAACUGGGGUAAUCACAACGGUCAACAGCAGCAAAGGCAGCACUUUCUGAUUUACUUGACUGCUAUGGAUGCCACCUCUCUCCACGCCUCAGUUUAAU